UGGCAAAGCGACGGGCCUGCAGAGAGCAUGUUGCCCACGCACACAGUUGGCUCUGCCUGGACGACUCCAUCUUCUCGAUCCGUGGGCUGAAACUUGGAAAAUUCCACCGUUCUGUUGGAACAUGUCCAGUCUGGAGCAGAACAAUCACCACAUGGGCCCUCAGUAACCUCACACCUUUAAAAUAACCACUGGGAGCACGUUUUCACAUCCUUCAUUCACCUGUCAGAAAACUCAGCUUAAUCUUGUUUUUUAUGCUUUUACAGCAGACAAAUACACAAUAUUCAGACCCAAAAACUAACACUAAACUACAACACAAAUGCAAUAUUAAAUUUUCUAACUGGGCAUACAGGUUCUGGUCCAAUUUUUUCUAAAAUGACCUAGCAAAGGAAUGUUUCCCCACAGCUGCUCCUCCCUGGCCACCACCUUCAUGUUAACUGUCAGCAUCUCACAUGGAGGAACUACAUGUUAUGCAACUGUACCAGUUCUUCUAGAAAGAUGACUUCAUCUUCAUCUGCAAGCUCAACACAGUUGCAUAACCAACAAAACAAUCAGAGACUACAUACCUCCGCCACCCAACACAGGGUCACUGACACUAUAGGGAAACAAGUCCUGGAUCCGGAUCACCACCAAAAUUUGAUGGAUUUUUCCUUCGGCUAAGACACACUUCUGGGUCGCAGAGGGCCUGCUGCCUAUCUCCAGGCGGUCAUCAGGAGAAAGGAUGUGUGGGAUCUGCAGAGAUGUUAGCUGCCCUUUUCGUGACCUGUACAAAACCUGGAUGGAGGGAAAGUCAGCUCUCUACGUGCUGGCUGAGCAUGAAGGAUUGCUACAAAGUCAAGAAUUUGGUGCGACUCCGAUGCUUCCAUAGAAAAAUGACUUUUGCCAAUUGUAAUAUGAUCAACUGUUUUUAAUUAGGAUCAAACUGGACUACAUGUACUUCACUCUGAAUCUGACCAUAUGACUGGAAUGUAUUGGAAUAAAUUGACUUAAACUGAAACUGACAUUAAAUUGGACUUUUCAUAAACAGAUGUGGAUUAAAGCAGUUUGUUUUGUAAUGUUUGAGAUUAGAUAAGUUGUGAACUGCUACAAUAUAAACAAACUAAACUGAAUUUUUUGAGUCUUACUUUUAUUUCUCCUUAAAUCAUGAUGGACCUUCACAUAAAACCUGUAUGGAAGCUCCUUUUGUCCAGGAAGGGCAUCCUGUUGGAUCCAGUGUGGUGUCAACAUCCAGCCUUUAUUCGUUUUUUCAUAUUUCUGCAGAGGUCUUGUUUCAGUUCACAGCUUUGUCACAUUAAACAGAAGGAAAAGAUCUUUACACCACGUAUUCAAAUCAAGCCUGGACGGCAACAUUCAAACAUCAGAAACUGGAUUUCGGAUAAGUGACAGUUUUUCCUGUUUCCGUCAUGAAUUUAAAAUUGCAUAAAAGAAAACAUGCAUAAAGUAAUGAUACAGCACAAACUACAUAUGUUAAAUGACCAACCAACAACUAUACAAAAUAUAAAUGAAUCACAAAGGAAUGUUUUGCACAUGUUCCGUCAUGAUUAAAUCCUAUAUUCUAUUUUUUCUGGGGUUCAAUGCAUAAAAUGUUGGA